UUUGUCUCGUGAAUUAGCUUUUAUUUAUGUAAUUAGUUUUGUAAGUAGUCUAUAUUUAAUACUCUAAAUUAGUGUCUAAAGACAGGGACUAAAGUUAAGUCCCUGGAUCUAAACACCACCUCAGUCUCUCUGGUUGGCGGUAGAAAGAAGUUUUCUCCAAAGCUAGGGAAUUAGAUAGAGAACGGUGUUAGAGAGACGGAGGGAGUUUUUUUUUUUUUUUUUUUUUUUUUUUUUUUUUUUUUUGGUGUGUGUGUGUGCGUGUGCGUGUGUGUUUGUUUGUUUGUUGAGUGUGCACAGAUGCUUCCUCUGUCCUCCAAGAGUUUAUGAUACCGGAUGGCACCAGCAAAGGUGGUUGCAGCAGCUUGCUGUGAUGGUUGCCGUAGGGACCCUAGGGGGAGAGAAGAAGCAGGCCUGGUGGCAGUGGGAGGUCACCACUAGAGGGUAGGACCAAGCUGACCAUGGCAGCAGCAGCGGUUGUGGCUUCCUAGGUCCUGGGAGGCUUGCGUAUUAAUUUGCAGACUCAAAACAAUGGAUUUUUGCCCAGUUGGUUGGUCAUCCCUUUAUGACUUGUUGGUGUUUGAUCUGUCCAGUUGACUGAAGAGUUGUCUUGAUGUGUCUGGAACGUUACAAAUGUUUGUUAUAUUACAUGGCUUGCCGAUAUGUGCUUGAAUUCAACAGUUGCUGAAUCAAUCAAAUACAAUUGAGCUAAAGUUUGCUCUGCCUGCAGGUACUUGUCGAUGCAUGGUAGCGAAUAAUUUUCAUAUUUUCUUCCAUGCUCUCGCGGGGAAAAGGAUGUUAACCAAUUGGCAGGGACUAUGAUUAGGUGUGCAGAGAAUAUGAUGUACACUUCUGCUUUAUUUGGAAUGCACUUAUUAUCUAGUUAUAUGCAUGGCACCUAGACACAUAAAAACUCUGCUGCCUCUUAGCAUGUGUCAAAGGUAUGUUCAUUAGCCCUUUUUUCUUAGGACAUUAAACUCAUAUUAUCUGGUUUUCUUGGAACAAUCAUUAACAAAUUGUACUCUGAUUUGAUAUUCAAUUAAGGUGUGGUUCAUGCAAAAGAAAGCUAGGUAGAGGAAUUUAAGUAUACAGGUUUAUAUUUACAUGGUUUUUAUCAUUUUAUUUUCUACAGCAAAGAGGCUCUAGAGUGAUGCUCUUCACAUAUUAUUAGGCUAUCUUAACAAAAAAGCAUCUUAACACAACGCUUCCUCGAGUAUGUCGAUUUGUAGUUCGGUCAGUUCACUCAAAUUCACUGACUUCAUGCAUGGGGACUCGACCAUCAAUCCUUUCUUGCGACGAGCUGUGACUGGGUGCUCUGGAACCUCCUUAAAAGAAGGGGCAGAGGGGUAAGGCAAUCUCUUCAGAUGAAUGUGUACAAGGUUGGAAACAUCAUCUGGCAGUAAUUUCCUGCAUGGGCAUGCAUGUUGAUGUGCAAGAAGCCAAGAACUAGUACAUGGUUACUCCAUGUUCGGCCAGCAAUAAUUUCCAUGUACAGCGAGCAGUUUUGUUCUACCUCUUUCACAAAUUAGUAAUCAGAAUUGAAAUCAAUACCCCCACUUGGAAAUAGAGGUACCCUAUUAUCCUAAUUUCUCUACAUUGCUGUUUUGUUUUCGAGGGUACAGGGGAUGAAGUUGUAGUCGCAGACUCACAGUGUAGUCUCGGUGAACUACUACUGCUCCCAGAAGCAGCGGUGCUCAGUGGCAAUGGUUGCAGUACCACCAGAUAUUGUUUUGUACUUGGUGUCACACAUGGAAGAGCAGAAUAAGAGAAUUUCCCAAAAUGAAGCGCAUACAGAAGAUUUUGGGCCCUGUUUCAGCAGAAAUGAGGAAUCUGGAAGGGGUCGAGAAGAAGAUUUUCAGGUUGCUGGGCGCCUGUGCCCCUGUAAUGCUUGUUCUGUUCUGUACCUGAAUGUUAACGAUCAAAAAGAGUAUGUUGUGUUUUGGUCUGUUCUUUUAGAAAGCUGGAAUCCCCAGCAAAAACAUCAUGUACCCUGUUAUGAUUUCAAUGAAGGCUCGGCGUAAUGCUUUGAUCCAAAAAAAAAAAAAGAAUAAGAAAAACUCAGAUAUGAGAGUUUAUAAUGUUCAGACAAGUUCAGACAUUACAGUAUUUCAGUAUCCUUCUGACGUAGAAGUAUCCCAUAUGUUGCUAAUGUAAUCUCUGAAGUUUCGCUCUUUGGUCCCUGAUAUUUUAUAUUGUCCAGACAAAUCAUGAAGAGAGCAACCCAUCCUCCUACAGUACUGAUCAGCCCCUUGAGUACUGGUACUAUGCUGUAUCCAACCAAAUCAUACUUUCAUGAGAAUCAUGAAUAUGUGUGUG